GAUGAAGAACGUAGCGAAAUGCGAUAAGUAGUGUGAAUUGCAGAAUUCAGUGAAUCAUCGAAUCUUUGAACGCACAUUGCGCCCCUUGGUAUCCCGAGGGGCAUGCCUGUUCGAGCGUCAUUUCACCACUCAAGCCUGGCUUGGUGUUGGGCGACGUCCUCUUUGGGGACGCGCCUCGAAACGCUCGGCGGCGUGGCACCGGUUUUAAGCGUAGCAGAAUCUUUCGCUUUGGAAGUCGGGGCCCCGUCUGCCGGAAGACCUGCUCGCAAGGUUGACCUCGGAUCAGGCAGGGAUACCCGCUGAACUUAAGCAUAUCAAUAAGCGGAGGA
rnacentral:misc_RNA from 1 species